rnacentral:rRNA from 1 species
UAAAGUCAAUUAUUACUCAACUUACACAUGCAAGUCUCCGCACCCCUGUGAGAACGCCCUCUAAUCCCUUUAGGGAUCAGGAGCUGGUAUCAGGCUCGACUCUCAGCCCACAACACCUAGCCACGCCACACCCACAAGGGUAUUCAGCAGUGAUUAACAUUGUUUAUAAGCGCAAGCUUGACCCAGUCAGAGUAAAUAGGGCCGGCAAAUCUGGUGCCAGCCGCCGCGGCCACACCACAGGCUCAAAUUGACCACCCACUCGGCGUAAAGCGUGAUUAAAGCUACCUUAAGCUGCAAUUAAACUGGAACUAGGAUGUUCAAACCCUGACCCCAGGAAACC